CAAGAAAUCCAAGACCCGGAGAUUCCUUUGGCGCCAGUCCUGCAUGGAGUGUUGUGGUGUGGUGUUUGUGCUGGAGUGGCUGUUGUAUGUCCGUAAUCAAGAAAUCAUGUUACUUGGAAACAGUUCCUGAAGGAUAUUAUUUACGAGGAUCAGAACCUUCGCUUGUUCAGUGGGAGCCCGGAGCAUCAUCUAUCGCGAGUGUUCAUGACGUAGUGAAGUGUUCGUGAUAUGGCGCUCAGUUUUCGGACUCUAUUCCUCGUGUUUCUGGCGUCAUGUGACUUUAGUGUAGCCCAUGUGGCUUUGACGUACCCGCCAGCAAGAAGGUAUGACCUCGACUUCUUGGACAACUCGAGGACUAAGGGACCGUGUGGAAUGCCAAAGGGCUCUAUCCGCACGACUCUGGUUGCAGGUUCCAGUUUCAACGUGACGUGGCAUCUUGCCUACCCACACAGGG